UCUGAUUGGUCAGAAGCAUUAGCGGAAGGAGUCUCCAGUGUCGGAGGUAGAUCUGUAACUUUAAGUUUUGAGAAAUCUUCAGGACAGAGGAGUUUACCUGUACCUAAACCUGAGAAAAGUUGCCGUGGUAGAAGAGGAAGGAAACGCUUCAGGACGUGCUGUUUUGGGAAAAUAAUCAGCUUUGAGAGUUCAGCUUCAGGACGGCACAGAGAGCUGGAAUUAGGAUGUGAUGUCUUUUUGUUGUUUUUAUGCAGAUGAAAACGAAGGUAAUAUUUUUAUAGGGGAAUUAUGGGGAUAUUAUUAAAGUUUAGAAAGGGACAGAAAAUCUUUCCUAUAUUUAGUUGUUUGUUUACUCGCUGAUUGAUUGAGUAGAAAUGAAGGGAAAGUUGUUUGUUAAUCUAAAAUAUGCACAAAAAAAACAAUUAAAAUAGAAGGAUAUCACUUUUCAA